rnacentral:rRNA from 1 species
GACGAACGCUGGCGGCGUGCUUAACACAUGCGAGUCGAACGGAAAGGCCCUGCUUUUGUGGGGUGCUCGAGUGGCGAACGGGUGAGUAACACGUGAGUAACCUGCCCUUGACUUUGGGAUAACUUCAGGAAACUGGGGCUAAUACCGGAUAGGAGCUCCUGCUGCAUGGUGGGGGUUGGAAAGUUUCGGCGGUUGGGGAUGGACUCGCGGCUUAUCAGCUUGUUGGUGGGGUAGUGGCUUACCAAGGCUUUGAAGGGUAGCCGGCCUGAGAGGGUGACCGGCCACAUUGGGACUGAGAUACGGCCCAGACUCCUACGGGAGGCAGCAGUGGGGAAUAUUGCACAAUGGGCGGAAGCCUGAUGCAGCAACGCCGCGUGCGGGAUGACGGCCUUCGGGUUGUAAACCGCUUUCGCCUGUGACGAAGCGUGAGUGACGGUAAUGGGUAAAGAAGCACCGGCUAACUACGUG